rnacentral:lncRNA from 1 species
UGUGUCCACCUAGAAUAAUUUGUUUGCUGGAAGUUCUGUUGUUGGCAGAAAAUGGAAGCUACAAACUAGUGUGGUUAUCAGCAGGGAAUGGGAUCAAAGUUUCAGUCCAACAAGUCCAGGCAACUUUCAGCUUGAAGGCCAAGGUGUUACUACUUAGAAUUUAGGGCACAGAAGGCUGGUGUGUGUCGGCAGUGAUAUUUGGGAGAAUGAGUCUGUUUGGGAGACACUUUAGGUCAUACCAGAUCUGCACAGGAAGCACAAAGCUCUGGUUACCACUGGAAGCCGUCUUGCCCCCAUAAACCAGCCUUAGGAUGCCACUGAUGCUGUAUGGCAGAAUGGAGUAACAGAGAGAAUUUGCAGAAUAAAGAAGGGACAAUGCAGUCACCAGGUCAGCAUUAAGGGAAGGCUUGGCUGCAUCAUCUGCCACUCUGCUGCUGCUGACUCUGCCAGUGGGGACAGCACAUGCUUCCUUCUACGCUUGCCUGAGGUUCGUAACUUCAGAGCCCCACAGCAUUUCUGGAAGGAGUAAAAUGAGCUACAUGGUCCGGGAAGCUACUCCUAAGUAGAGUUCACAAUCAAAGGAAUAGAAGCUGGGGAAAACAAUAAAGCAGUCUUCUUCUUCUCAAGUCAUCUGUGACAGGUUUUUUUUAUUUUUAAUUUUUAUUAGAAUAGGGAGACAUAGAACCACCAAACUCCUAUAGAAAACGAGUCUUCUGAGCACCAGUAGCC